AAAUGAAUAGACGGGGGCCCGCACAAGCAGUGGAGUAUGUGGUUUAAUUCGAAGCAACGCGAAGAACCUUACCAGGGCUUGACAUGCAGGCGGAUGAUGUGGAAACACAUCAGUCUUUCGGGACGCCUGCACAGGUGGUGCAUGGUUGUCGUCAGCUCGUGUCGUGAGAUGUUGGGUUAAGUCCCGCAACGAGCGCAACCCCUGUUGUUAGUUGCCAGCACGAAAGGUGGGCACUCUAACGAGACUGCCGGUGACAAAUCGGAGGAAGGUGGGGACGACGUCAAAUCAUCAUGCCCCUUAUGUUCUGGGCUACACACGUACUACAAUGGCUAUAACAGCGGGGAGCGAAGGAGCAAUCCGGAGCGAAUCCUGAAAAAUAGUCCCAGUUCGGAUUGUGGGCUGCAACCCGCCCACAUGAAGUCGGAAUUGCUAGUAAUGGCAGGUCAGCAUACUGCCGUGAAUACGUUCCCGGGCCUUGUACACACCGCCCGU
rnacentral:rRNA from 1 species